GGUGGCUAUAGCUCAGUUGGUAGAGCCCUGGAUUGUGAUUCCGGUGGUCGCGAGUUCGAAUCUCGUUAGCCACCCCA
rnacentral:tRNA from 1 species